GACGAACGCUGGCGGCGUGCCUAAUACAUGCAAGUAGAACGCUGAAGAGAGGAGCUUGCUCUUCUUGGAUGAGUUGCGAACGGGUGAGUAACGCGUAGGUAACCUGCCUUGUAGCGGGGGAGAACUAUUGGAAACGAUAGCUAAUACCGCAUAACAAUGGAUGACACAUGUCAUUUAUUUGAAAGGGGCAAUUGUUCCACUACAAGAUGGACCUGCGUUGUAUUAGCUAGUAGGUGAGGUAAUGGCUCACCUAGGCGACGAUACAUAGCCGACCUGAGAGGGUGAUCGGCCACACUGGGACUGAGACACGGCCCAGACUCCUACGGGAGGCAGCAGUAGGGAAUCUUCGGCAAUGGGGGCAACCCUGACCGAGCAACGCCGCGUGAGGGAAGAAGGUUUUCGGAUCGUAAAGCUCUGUUGUAAGUCAAGAACGGGUGUGAGAGUGGAAAGUUCACACUGUGACGGUAGCUUACCAGAAAGGGACGGCUAACUACGUGCCAGCAGCCGCAGUAAUAC
rnacentral:rRNA from 1 species